rnacentral:rRNA from 1 species
UACGGGGGGAGCAAGCGUUGUUCGGAUUUACUGGGCGUAAAGGGCGCGUAGGCGGCCACCGCAAGUCGACUGUGAAAUCUCCGGGCUUAACCCGGAAAGGUCAGCCGAUACUGCGGGGCUAGAGUGCAGAAGGGGCAACUGGAAUUCUCGGUGUAGCGGUGAAAUGCGUAGAUAUCGAGAGGAACACCUGCGGCGAAAGCGGCUCACUGGACCACAACUGACGCUGAUGCGCGAAAGCUAGGGGAGCAAACAGG